rnacentral:tRNA from 1 species
GCCCGGGUGGCUCUGUCGGUUAAGCAUCUGACUUCAGCUCAGGUCAUGGUCUCACGGUUCGUGGGUUCGAGCCCCGUGUCGGGCU